GAUGAACGCUGGCGGCGUGCCUAAUACAUGCAAGUAGAACGCUGAAGGAGGAGCUUGCUCUUCUGGAUGAGUUGCGAACGGGUGAGUAACGCGUAGGUAACCUGCCUGGUAGCGGGGGAUAACUAUUGGAAACGAUAGCUAAUACCGCAUGACAACAGUUAUUGCAUGAUAACUGUUUAAAAGGGGCAACUGCUCCACUACCAGAUGGACCUGCGUUGUAUUAGCUAGUUGGUGAGGUAACGGCUCACCAAGGCGACGAUACAUAGCCGACCGGAGAGGGGGGUCGGCCCCCCUGGGAACUGGACACGGCCCAGGCUCCUUCGGGAAGCAGCCGUAGGGGAUCUUCCGCCAUUGGCGGAAGUCUUACCGGACAACGCCGCGUGAGUGGAGAAGGUUUUCGGGUCGUAAAGCUCUGUUGUUAGGGGAGAAAGAGUGUGAGAGUGGAAAGUUCCCCCUGUGACGGUAACUUACCAGAAAGGGACGGCUAACUACGUG
rnacentral:rRNA from 1 species